AGAGUUUGAUCMUGGCUCAGGAUGAACGCUAGCGGCAGGCCUAACACAUGCAAAGUCGCGGGGCAGCGCGGGUGCAGCAAUGCACUGGCGGCGACCGGCGCACGGGUGCGUAACGCGUAUGCAACCUGCCCAUCCCCGGGGGAUAGCCCGCCGAAAGGCGGAUUAAUACCCCAUGGACCCUUAGGCCCGCAUGGGCGGUAGGGUAAAGCUCCGGCGGGGAUGGAUGGGCAUGCGUGCCAUUAGCUGGACGGCGGGGUAACGGCCACCGUGGCUACGAUGGCUAGGGGGUCUGAGAGGAUGAUCCCCACACUGGUACUGAGACACGGACCAGACUCCUACGGGAGGCAGCAGUGAGGAAUAUUGGUCAAUGGGCGGAAGCCUGAACCAGCCAUGCCGCGUGCAGGACGACGGCCCUACGGGUUGUAAACUGCUUUUUCCCCGGGAAGAAUAAGGGCCCUGCGGGGGGGUCGAUGCCGGUACCGGGGGAAUAAGGAUCGGCUAACUCCGUGCCAGCAGCCGCGGUAAUA
rnacentral:rRNA from 1 species